GGACGGACCUCUGGAGAGACCAAUGACGGCGCCGAAGGGGCAAAGGCUAGUUAAAUUUAGCUUAAUCUCUCAGGCAAAAGGACAGAGUAUCUAAA
rnacentral:ncRNA from 2 species